rnacentral:rRNA from 1 species
AGCUCCAAUAGCGUAUAUUAAUGUUGUUGCAGUUAAAAAGCUCGUAGUUGGAUUUGUGGUUGGGUUGUCCGGUCCGACUUCGGUCGGUACUUGGCCGACUCGCCAUCCUUGGGUGGAACCUGUGUGGCAUUAGGUUGUCGUGCAGGGGAGGCCCAUCGUUUACUGUGAAGAAAAUGGAUCGUUCCAAGAAGGCUUAUGCCGUUGAACAUAUUAGCAUGGGAUAAUAACAUAGGACUUUGGUACUAUUUUGUUGGUUUGUGCACCGAAGUAAUGAUCAAUAGGAACAGUUGGGGCUAUUCGUAUUCCAUUGUCAGAGGUGAAAUUCUUGGAUUUUUGGAAGACGAACUACUGCGAAAGCAUUUAGCAAGGAUGUUUUCAUUAAUCAAGAACGAAAGUACGC